rnacentral:tRNA from 1 species
GGUUGUGGCUUAAUGGUAGAGCACUUGCUUAACAUGCGUGAGGCACUGGGUUCGAUCCUCAGCACCA